AUAAAUCAGCCUGCACCCGGAGCUGGAGUUAAUCCUGUUUCAGCUUCUGUGGGUACACUUGGCGCACACAGCCAUCCUAGUGCUGCAAUGUUGGCAGCUGCAGCUGCCGCUGCUGGAAGAGGUGGUCCUGGCAUUGUUCCGAGUUCACUGCUGCCAAUAGAUGUCUCUGUUGUACUUCGUGGUCCGUACUGGAUUCGCAUUAUUUAUCGG
rnacentral:misc_RNA from 1 species